ACGGCAAAGCCGCCGAAAGGCGGCGACGCAAAGCUAUGAGUCUACGGCAGAUACUGCUAGGAUCGUCAAGCUGCAA
rnacentral:ncRNA from 1 species